ACGCUCGACACCUAGGGAGCAGCAGUGGGGAAUAUUGCACAAUGGGGGAAACCCUGAUGCAGCGACGCCGCGUGAAGGAAGAAGUAUUUCGGUAUGUAAACUUCUAUCAGCAGGGAAGAAAAUGACGGUACCUGAGUAAGAAGCACCGGCUAAAUACGUGCCAGCAGCCGCGGUAAUCUGAGCGGGCUGGCAAGGC
rnacentral:rRNA from 1 species